CCCGAAAACGCGCAUGCGUUCUUAGCAAUGGAGCUGACCGGUUUUUUUUAUUUACGCAACGACGAAAAAAACGGACGGAAGACGGAAGUGAUCGGAGGUUUCAAUCACGAAGCAGCCGUUACUCGUUUUACUUUUCGCUGGCCGGGUACGACACGUAACAGCUGCCCAUAUCCAGACAGCAGCGGCGCAUGCCCUGCUGGCACAUGUGAUAGUCGCGGUACGGUGGUACCAGCACCUCGUCCAUGAUCAGCAUAAUCGCCGCAUACUUCGCCAGUGCCUGCUCGUACAUGCCGACCUGAUAGAGAUGGUUCGCCUCGUUGAAGCGGCCGAUCAUGUUUGCUUCCUGUUGGUGAUGAAACAUACAGCAAAAAAGACGUUACAUUUUAAACCCUUUGCUGGCAAGCCCGCUGGAUGUAACUCACCCGCAGCAUUCGGAUGCACUCGCCAACAUCCACAAUGUGUCCGCAGGCACCACACCGCACACCCUGGCUGCUGGAGUGCAGAUCGUACAGUACCGGGCGAUGGCAAGCGUCCGGCCCCGUACACCGAAACCGUAUCACCGCAUGAUUCAUGUUCGCACAGGUCGGCCAGUCGGCGGCGCAGGCCUCGCAGCCACACUCGAACUUGUAAUUGGUGGCCAACGAUUGGCGACGCUCCGAGCGGGCCAUUCGCGUGUAAAGUGGUCCAUAGUUUUCCGCGAUGAGCGCACCGGCAGCGAUGUUCUUAAUCGUCCGUACGUGCACCGUCGUGCCGGUGAAGUACCUGCGAAAGGGAGACGCGUAAACGGAUUUCAAUUUUCGCACCGACAACGGUGAAAGGAAAAGGAGCUUCGGGGCUGCACUAUUACCGUACAAUGCCGGGAUCGCAGGAGUGAUUGAAGAGGGCCAGCAGCGGAUAGAGAGCUGCCCCGACGGCGACCGAUAGGGCCGGCUCGUUCGCAUGCUUGCGCUGCACCUCGGACACGUCGUGCGCAUUGUAGUUGACCACCUGCAGGUUGUGCAGCAGCAGAUAACCUAGAAAGCUGAAGGAGAGGAUGUUUGCCAUCCGGAGGACGGUGUUGAGCAUGGUUGCCAUCAGUGUCCACACGAGAUUGUCCUCGGGUGUACGCUUGUCCGAGUGUGUGACCAGGUUGAAGAUCUUCCUGUAGUCAUCAUCUGGAAGUCUGCAACAGAGUGCUUCAUUAGUACAAUGGAAAAAAAACGGGGAGAAAACAGCACAAAAGCACAUGCAGCAGCAACACUGUCUCACCUUUGGCGGGACACCCCGUCUCCAUCCCGGCAAUCGAUGUGCGCGCGUACCUUGGCAUUUCGAGACAAUUGUCUGCCUCAGUUCGGUCACCGGAAUCGGGCUCACCCUGAAGAAUGGAGCGGGCCCCGUAUGCACACACACAAAGUGUACCGUAGAGCCGUGUACACUCCAGUAAACAUACGCGUCUGAUGCACAUUGACAGUGGCACCAGGCGCACCACACCAACCCCUUCUAUCUGUCUAAAGGGUCGCCCUGAUCGAUCGAUCGUGCAAUGGCUGCGUGUGCACUUACUCACUCACUGACACCGGUCCUGACAGCGAGCAAAUCAGCGAGCAAAACAACACCACACGACUGCGUAAACAAGUGAGUGCGCGCUGGAAACAAAAGACUCAAGCGACGAACCCCCUGCACGGGCACGAUGAUGAUGCACCAGAACAACGACGCAGUGCACGGUGUUGAUGCAAAACAGAGUCCCCGCGUAUGUAUAAUACAUACACAGCUGUGUUCUAAAAUUUAGUGACACAUAAUACUGUGCCCCCGUGCGAAGGUGUAGGCGCACAGGCAAAAAGGGGAG